AUGCAAGUCGAGCGUAUCAUGGUAUCUUGGUACCUUAUUCAUCGGCGGACGGGUGAGAAAAGCCUAUGAGUCUGCCCUAUAUUGGGGGACAAUGUUUCCAAGGGAACGCUAAUACCGCAUACAUCCUACGGGAGAAAGCAGGGGACCUUCGGGCCUUGCGCUUUCGCAUGAACCUAGGUCGGAUUACCUAGUUCGUGGGGUAAAGGGUCACCAAGGGGAUCACCCCUAACUGGACUGAUAGGAUGAUCAGUCACACUGGAACUGACACACGGUCCAAACUCCUACGGGAAGCAGCAGUGGGGAAUAUUGGACAAUGGGCGAAAGCCUGAUCCAGCCAUGCCGCGUGUGAGAACAAGGUCUUCAGAAUGGACUUCACUUUAAACUGGUAGGAAGGGCAGGAAGUUAAUACCUUGCUGUUUUGACUUUAACGGCGAAAGAACCACCCGCUAACUUCGUGCCUACAUCCGCGGUAAUACGAACGGUGCUAGCGAUGAUCUAAAUUACUGGUCGAAAAGCGCGCGGAGGUGGUUCCGCAAGUUGGAUGUGAAAUCCCAGGGCUCAGCCUGGGAACUGCAUCUGAAACUACUGUGCUAAAUUAUGAUAUAGGGUGGUGGAAAUUCCUGUGUAGCGGUGAAAUGCGUAGAUAUAGGAAGGAACACCUGUGGCACAGGCGAUCACCUGGACUAUUUCUGACACUGAAGUGCAAAAGCAUGGGUGAGCAAACAGGAUUAUAUACCCUGGUAGUCCACUCCGUAAACGAUGCCAUAUACGAUGUUGGGGUUCCCUGAGGACUUAUUAACGCCCCUAACGCUAUAAGGUGACCGCCUGGGAAUUCCCGCCGGCUAAGUUUAAACCUCAAUUGAAAUUGACGAGCGCCUCCACAAGCGGCGGACCAUGUGGUUAACUUCGAGCCACUUUCAAAACCUUUCCUGGCCUUGAAAUGCGGACUACUUUCUGA
rnacentral:rRNA from 1 species